rnacentral:rRNA from 1 species
AUACGGAGGGAGCUAGCGUUGUUCGGAUUUACUGGGCGUAAAGGGCGCGUAGGCGGCCUGGCAAGUCAAAGGUGAAAUCCCUCGGCCUAACCGAGGAACUGCCUUUGAAACUGCUUGGCUUGAGGCCGGGAGAGGGUAGUGGAAUUCCCAGUGUAGCGGUGAAAUGCGUAGAUAUUGGGAGGAACACCAGUGGCGAAGGCGACUACCUGGACCGGUUCUGACGCUGAGGCGCGAAAGCGUGGGGAGCAAACAGGAUUAGAAACCCCAGUAGUCC